rnacentral:rRNA from 1 species
CGUAAUAAUAGAAACUAACCAGGAUUCCCUUAGUAACGGCGAGUGAACUGGGAUACCCAAUAUAUACCAUCUGUGCGUACCUCGGGUGCGUACAAAUUUUAGCCCGUCGAUACUAUCCUAGCAUAGUACUGGCUUCGGCCGGUAACCUAUCUAUGCGGGAAUUGUAGCAUCGUACAAAAUAUAUUAUACAACGUAUAUAUACGCAACCCACACUUAUAUAUAUUUUUAUGCGUACACUUACUUUCAUAAACACACAGCGCUCCCGCGUUGGAAAGCAAGUCUAUAUCCUUUUUGGAUAUGCCAUAGAGUGUGACGGCCACGUUUCAACUCUCUACGUAUACGCAUGCGUUAUAUACAUACACUGUAUUUUAUAUAUAACCUGAGUCGAGUUAUUU